AAAAGUGCAUUUUGCUGUUUUUGUUAAAGAAAAAAAGUUUUAAGUUCUGUUCAAGUGAGCUCGCCAACCUCACUAAUCUGUGUGUUAUGGAUUUAUCUACCGGACUCGCCGGUGGCGUCGGCCGUGGCUGCAAUAGCUUCCCUCUGCUCGACGCAAGCCGCCACAGGAGUUCGCCCUGUUGUAUGCUCGUUGAUGCUGAUAUCCUGAUCUCCCGAGACGCUGGUUCGCAUCUUCUAGGGCUUUCUUUAUGUAUUAUUUCGUUAGCGUAUUGGAUAACUAGUGAUCGCUUCAAUUCUUUGAUUGCUUGUAUCUUUAUCACCGAAACAAUGUGCCCAGAACAUUCGUAUCUAGAUCUAUGUUAUUGAAUUUCAUUCAAGGCGACGGCUAUAGCAACUACUAAUCGCAGUUUUAAUUCUACCUCACGGAAGCUUAAUUCCUGCUAGAUUAUUGAUAUAAAUGUAGUGUAGUGUAGGUCCUUAUAGAUUUCUAUGGUUUUGACUUUUGAUUCGAGGAAGGAGAGUAGGUUUUAGCAUGUGUUGGAAGCCUGUAGAGGGAGGACCUUGGGAAUUGUGCCAUGAUAAUAGAGCGAGAUUCUCGGAGUUCAGACAAGAUAAUUUGUACGGCUUACGGCGUGAUUCUGUUGGUUUCUGAUCUUGAAAAUGGAGAGGAAUCCAUUGAUGGGUCGGAUAACUCAAGCUUGUUAAAAAUAAACGCAUUUGAAAAAGGAUACCAAUUGAACAAGAAACAUCACAUCAUCACAUCACUUAUUGCAAUUCAAAAGUGAUUGUCUACAGCGAAAAAGGCAAGAGGGAGGAUAGCAAAUUUGCAGGAAAUUACACUAUGAAGUUCAGAGCUCUGAGAGCAGCCCCCCAAAGGAAAAAUAGAAAAGAGAAAGAAAAACAAAAAGGAAUGAUAAAUGAAGCCUUUUUCAAGCUGCAGGUCACUCCCAACCCACCUAACAGUCAUCAUGUAACUCCCAACCUUCUACAGCUUCAAUGGCAGCUUUUGCUAGAGAGAAAAAGUUUAGGCCUUGGUGGGCAGUCCCACCUAUUUGUCUAAAACGAGUUGUGCCACUGCCACCAUCUAUGGAUGCUUGAUUGUUACUCACUUAUCCACCGAAAGAAGAGUGAAUCAAUGUAGAUUUUGUUGUACGGGCGACAACAAUCCAUAGGCCAGUAUUUACUACCUAGAUGCAUCUAAUACUAGAUCUAUUUUAUGCAUCCUACCAAAUUGUCCGAUAAUAAAGUCUAUAUUUUAUUUUUUAUUUUUUUUUUGGGAUGAAAAUCGAAUACAUAAAGAUAAAUGCAUCAUCUUGGGAUACACCCAUAUUUAUACA